GCUUACGGCCAUACCACCCUGAACACGCCCGAUCUCGUCCGAUCUCGGAAGCUAAGCAGGUCGGGCCUGGUUAGUACUUGGAUGGGAGACCGCCUGGGAAUACCAGGUGCUGUAAGCU
ensembl:rRNA 5S_rRNA 5S ribosomal RNA